UCCCCCUGAUGAAUCUGAACCUGCCAAACAUUUUUGGAAACCCCUGUUUGUGUUUUUGGACUGUCACCUGUGAGCGCACAGGUUUUGUUUCAACAUUUCUUGGGACAGCUGCUUUACAAUCCAUCCAAUGGAGUAAAUGUUGAAAGGAAGAAAAUUAAAAAACAAACCAUCUGGCUUUUGCCCAAAACUUUACAAGCACUUGGAGCCUCAACAUCAGUAAAAGUGAGCUGAUUGUGGACUACAGGAAGGACCCGCCCCCUUAUUCCCAUCAAUGGGACGACGGCAGAGAUUCAGCAGCUUCAGCUUCCUCCAUUGGCUCUUCUUCCUCCUCAGGCAUUUUUAACGUGGACUCCAGGAUACUCUGCAACUUCUGCAGUUCCCUGUACCAAAGAGUGGCGUGAAAGUCAAGAGAAUUCACUCUGCAGCAAAAUCUGGGGACCAAAACAUCCCUAUAAGUGCGUUGCACAGAAAAAUAUGACUGCUCAACUUGAAGCUCAGUCGAUUAAGGCUCUCUGACUGAUGAUUUCCAACUUUUAAGGGGCUGCCCUAAAACAAUUGUUUGCUGGGACACUUUGA